UACGUAGGGGGCAAGCGUUGUCCGGAUUUACUGGGCGUAAAGCGCACGUAGGCGGAUCGUUAAGUGAGGGGUGAAAUCCCAGGGCUCAACCCUGGAACUGCCUUUCAUACUGGCGAUCUUGAGUCCGGAAGAGGUGAGUGGAACUCCUAGUGUAGAGGUGGAAUUCGUAGAUAUUAGGAAGAACACCAGUGGCGAAGGCGGCUCACUGGUCCGGUACUGACGCUGAGGUGCGAAAGCGUGGGGAGCAAACAGG
rnacentral:rRNA from 1 species